CUCUUUUGCAGACUGUGCCAAGGAAAAAAAGUGUGCUGUUUUCUUCAGUUGUUCAGCACUGCCGUACAGGCUGUUGGUUAUGUUGAGCUGUAGUGGAAGUAGGUCUGCCUAACGUGGAUUAGGAAGGGACAUUCAAAGAGGAUCUGUUUAACGGUUUCAUAAAGCCAGCUAGGUUGCCACUGUGACAUGGCUUCAGUCAUACAGUUAGGUUGCCUUUUUGUACUGCUGUUUGGCCAAUCUGUUCUGGCACAUUUUUAUUAUAGCAUACCCCUCAAUUAUGCAUUGCAUAGAAAACUAUCGAUUGACAGUAGGGCAAGAGCUUCAUAUUAUAGACCAUAUACACAUAGACAUAGAAAAAAUUUUGACCUUAGAAUGGAAGAAGGGACAGAAGUUAGACUGCGUUGCUCUAGGAAAGAUACAAUUAUUUGGAAGUUCUAUGACAGAGAGUUAUCACGUUGUGAUCAAGAUCAUUGUGAAAACUUGGAAAGAAAAGAUUAUGUGGCUACUGUUGUGGGCAAACAGUCUGGAUGGAAUUUUCAAUUCCUUACAGUAGAAAUGGUGUUUCAUGCCAAUCGCUCAGUCCAUAUAUAUUGUUUAGAUAAUUCGAAUUCUUGGCCAUCUAUAGAAUCAUGGUUUGUGUUUG